CAAAAGUGUAUAAAUACUAAGUCAGAACUGUGGUCAGAAUCACAAUCAAGCUGGUCAAAAUUCGAUACAAAUGUCUUCGUCGAAUUCAGAUACGGAAAAUAACAGUUACCAAAGCGAUGACUGACUGAAAUUAUAUUCCUGAGCCGUAUCAAAUCGAGUGAAAUUGAUGAAAACACCAGUGAAGCGUAGUCAAGCAGCGCCGCCGAUCAUUCAUGUGCCCGACGAAGAUUGGCUCAAAAGUUACCGUGAAAAAAAGCAAUCGCGACGAACGCGUCUUAAGCAACUACAACAAAGGCUUGAUAGUUCAGAAGAAUUGAGUAAAUGGUAAAUAUUUUGUUGCGUGACUUGACCUUGCGUUUCGUGACUUGCCAGUGUUUCUACAUACACAGUAUUCAAAUUACAAAAUAUAAUAUUUCAGGUGUAAACGUGGCAAUUGUCGCAUUGAACUGCUUCGUAAAUUAUGCUAAAGAGUGUUAAUGUUGUACGGAAAUUGAGGAGUGCGUCGAUUCUCUACACAGUAACAUUGUGAUUUGUGAUGCAAGAUGAAGUCGCGCCAUCAUGUAUAAUUCAACAGCUUAUCACUAGAUAAGUGAGCCUUCCGUUCAGCAGCCACGAAAUUACGAACAAGAAAGAAGCAGGAAUACCGUCAAACAAACACAGAAGAUGGGAAAAUAAAGUUUUAUUUAUCAACAUAUUGAAAUUAAGAAACAGUUUACCGUACCCGAGUUUACUAUCAGUGAACACACGCAUGCGGUACGGUAACUGAGAGUUUUAUAUACGGUACAUGCUGUACAAUUAUUGAAUUACUAUAUAUUUACAUAUGUCCACAUGCAAGUAAGCGACUUAUUAAAAAGAUUUAUUUAUUAAUUUACAGAUUCUGAAGGAGCUAUUGAUGAAGACUUUGUAGGAUUUGUAGAGGAUAGCUCUUGAUCUUAUAGAAUUAUUUUUCAAUAAAUAAACCUAUUACACUGUAUAAGCGUAGUAAUAUUAUACUGUAUUGCGUAUAGAAACAGCACAUUUGCUAUAUUCAUGACUUAUUACAAUAUUAUUUUGCCAAAGAGGCUG